rnacentral:rRNA from 1 species
AACGAACGUUGGCGGCGUGGAUUAGGCAUGCAAGUCGCGGGAAUCCCAGCAAUGGGGGAACCGGCGUAAGGGGCAGUAAUGCGUGGGUACCUACCCCGGGGUCCGGGAUAGCCGUCCGAGAGGGCGGGUAAUACCGGAUGACCUCGGGAGAGCAAAGCUCCGGCGCCCCGGGAGGGGCCCACGUGAUAUUAGCUAGUUGGUGAGGUGACGGCUCACCAAGGCGGAGAUGUCUAGCGGGUGUGAGAGCACGACCCGCGCCACUCGCACUGAGAAACUGGCGAGACACCUACGGGUGGCUGCAGUCGAGGAUCUUCGGCAAUGCGCGCAAGCGCGACCGAGCGACGCCGCGUGGGCGAUGAAGGCCUUCGGGUUGUAAAGCCCUGUCGAGGGGGAGAAAAGCGGGAAACCGUGUGAUCUAUCCCUGGAGGAAGCUCGGGCUAAGUUCGUGCCAGCCGCCGCAGUAAAAC